rnacentral:rRNA from 1 species
AGUGAACGCUGGCGGUAGGCCUAACACAUGCAAGUCGAACGGCAGCACAGUAAGAGCUUGCUCUUACGGGUGGCGAGUGGCGGGAGGGUGAGGAAUACAUCGGAAUCUACUUUUUCGUGGGGGAUAACGUAGGUAAACUUACUCUAAUACAGCAGACGCUCUUCGGGGGAAAGCAGGGGAUCUUCUGACCUUGCGGGGUUGCAUGAGCGGCUGUCGGGGUAGCUAGUUGGCGGGUGAAAGGCCCACGCAGGGGAGGAUCCGUAUCUGGUGUGAGUGGAUGGUCGCCCACCCUAGAAGUGAGACACGGUCCAGACUCCUACGGGAGGGCGCAGUCGGGAAUGUUAGGCAAUGGGGGCAAGCCUGAUCCAGCCAUACCGAGUGGGUGAAGGAGGCCUUCGGGUCGUAAAGCCCUUUUUUGGGGAAAGAAAAGCAGCAGGUUAAUACCCAGCUGUUCUGACGGUAACCAAAGAAUAAGCACCGGCUAACUUCGUG